rnacentral:rRNA from 1 species
CUACGGGGGGCUGCAGUGAGGAAUAUUGCACAAUGGGGGGAACCCUGAUGCAGCAACGCCGCGUGGAGGAUGACGCAUUUCGGUGUGUAAACUCCUUUUAUAUGUCAAGAAAAUGACGGUAGCAUAUGAAUAAGCACCGGCUAACUCCGUGCCAGCAGCCGCGGUAAUACGGAGGGUGCAAGCGUUACUCGGAAUCACGGGGCGUAAAGGACGCGUAGGCGGGUUGGAAAGUCAGGUGUGAAAUCCUACAGCUUAACUGUAGAACUGCACUUGAAACUUCUAAUCUAGAGUAUGGGAGGGGAGAUGGAAUUAGUGGUGUAGGGGUAAAAUCCGUAGAUAUCACUAGGAAUACCUAAAGCGAAGGCGAUCUCCUGGAACAUUACUGACGCUAAGGCGUGAAAGCGUGGGGAGCAAACAGGAUUAGAUACCCCUGUAGUC